rnacentral:rRNA from 1 species
CUUAGUGGCGCACGGGUGCGUAACGCGUGGGAAUCUGCCCUUGGGUUCGGAAUAACUCGCCGAAAGGCGUGCUAAUACCGGAUGAUGUCGCAAGACCAAAGAUUUAUCGCCCAAGGAUGAGCCCGCGUAGGAUUAGCUAGUUGGUGAGGUAAAGGCUCACCAAGGCGACGAUCCAUAGCUGGUUUGAGAGGAUGAUCAGCCACACUGGGACUGAGACACGGCCCAGACUCCUACGGGAGGCAGCAGUGGGGAAUCUUAGACAAUGGGGGCAACCCUGAUCUAGCCAUGCCGCGUGAGUGAUGAAGGCCUUAGGGUUGUAAAGCUCUUUCAGCUGGGAAGAUAAUGACGGUACCAGCAGAAGAAGCCCCGGCUAACUCCGUGCCAGCAGCCGCGGUAAUACGGAGGGGGCUAGCGUUGUUCGGAAUUACUGGGCGUAAAGCGCACGUAGGCGG